UACGUAGGGCGCAAGCGUUGUCCGGAAUUAUUGGGCGUAAAGAGCUCGUGAGCGGCUUGUCACGUCGGAUGUGAAGGCCCGAGGCUUAACCUCGGGUCUGCAUUCGAUACGGGCUAGCUAGAGUGUGGUAGGGGAGAUCGGAAUUCCUGGUGUAGCGGUGAAAUGCGCAGAUAUCAGGAGGAACACCGAUGGCGAAGGCAGAUCUCUGGGCCGUAACUGACGCUGAGGAGCGAAAGCGUGGGGAGCGAACAGG
rnacentral:rRNA from 1 species